UACGUAGGGGGCAAGCGUUGUCCGGAAUCAUUGGGCGUAAAGCGCGUGUAGGCGGUUCAGUAAGUCUGCUGUGAAAGUCCAGGGCUCAACCCUGGGAUGCCGGUGGAUACUGCUGGGCUAGAGUACGGAAGAGGCGAGUGGAAUUCCUGGUGUAGCGGUGAAAUGCGCAGAUAUCAGGAGGAACACCGGUGGCGAAGGCGGGCUCUGGGCCGAUACUGACGCUGAGGAGCGAAAGCGUGGGGAGCGAACAGG
rnacentral:rRNA from 1 species